rnacentral:rRNA from 1 species
CCCUUAGAUGUUCUGGGCCGCACGCGUGCUACACUGAGUGGAUCAGCGGGUCAGGUUGCGCGAAAGUGUUUCCUAAUCUUGAAAUCCGCUCGUGAUGGGGAUUGACGGUUGCAAUUUUCCGUCAUGAACGAGGAAUACCUUGUAAGCGCGGGUCAUCAUCCCGCGCUGAAUACGUCCCUGCCCUUUGUACACACCGCCCGUCGCUACUACCGAUUGAAUGGCUCAGUGAGGCCUUCGGACUGGCUCAGGGAGGUUGGCAACGACCACCCCGAGCCGGAAAGUUCGUCAAACUCGGUCAUUUAGAGGAAGUAAAAGUCGUAACA